CUCCAGACCUCGUGAUCUGCCCACGUUGGCCACCCAAAGUGCUGGGAUCAGAGGCGUGAGCCAUCGUGCCCGGCCUGAACUUUGUUUUCAUUGCGAAUUAAUGCACUUGCUCAGACACCUUUAAUAUCAUCUUACUACCAGUACAGUAAAGUUGAGGCUUGGCUGAGCAUUUUAGGGGAAUCGAUAAUUGUCCCUCUGCUUGCCUUUCCUACAAUUCCCCGCACAAACUUCUCUCUCCCUCUCUGAUCUCCUUGGCACCAGCUCCACAUCGUGUAGUGCACCUCCUGCCUCAGUGACUUCAGUCUUGGUGCUUCUCCUGCUUCACAUUUGCCCACUCUGGCUCCAGACCCACAUGAAAGCAGCCUCCAAAAUCCCAGCACCCAGCUCACACCCUUUCUCGGACAAUUUGUAAUCCAAGAAGUGAGGAAGCAAAGACAGGUUUAGAACCUGACCUCAGGACACAGGAAGAGUUCUAACACAGAAGGAGUGCAGAUUACAAGUUAAGCAACUUGGGCUUUAGGAAAGAAGCAUAGAGUUGCACACAACAGUCGGAGUCAGCCAGCAUCACUCAGCAUGUGGAAUGUACCUGUAGAAAGUUUCUGGGUGGGCCCACGUAAACUAUGUUUGCUAUACUGAACAGAGUCUCUGUGCUCAACUGGUUACAAGUUUGACUCAAGGAUUCAAACCCAGGCUGGUUUCAUCCCAUGACAAGAAGAUUGUUAUCUAGAUGGACACGCUGGGACUUCAUCUCAUCCCACAGAAGUUAAGUGUUGAACAAAUAUGGUCAGGUGCUGCCUGUGGAGAUGUCCCCAGCCUCUUGCCAGAGGGAAGGGACUGGAAGUUAGAAUCCAACUGAGAGGGUUGAAUCAGAUGCUUGCUUCAAGUCAAUGCAGCUAGGGGAGCUUGCAAAGCCAGAGUUUGCAACAGAGUGGGCAAAUACUCAGAAGAAAAUACAAAUUUCUGGAGUCAGAGCAGGCCAGGGAGGGGCCAGCAGGCAUCUGGGAUAUCAGAAGCAUUAAAUUAUAGACAACAGAUACAAGACAAUCUGUAGUCAAGGACCGGCGCUGCAAGGCAGGAGAAUAAAGAACAUGAAGGAGAAAGGGCAGCAAGAAUGGGAAAGAGGCCCCACUGUUGUCUUGUGUGCAUCUCUGCAGAAAGACUUUGUCAUAGUCUUUGCAAGGCAGGAGCUACCCUCAGGGCAGUUGGCCUAGACCAGUGCUUCUUACCUAGUGUGCUUUAAGAAAACUAGCAGUGCCUAGGCUGCAUCCCAGUCUAAUUAAACUAACAUUUCCUAGGUGGAGCCGGAUGUCAGUAUUUUUCAAAACUCCCCAGGUGAUUCUCCAGGACUCAGAUGCAUUGCUCCGGCCUUACAAAUUUAGAGUUGGUGAUUGGUGGCACCUGGCAGAAGUGAGGCAUACACAGGGUGGAGAAUCCUGGGAAUCCACUCCCUCAGAACAAUUUCAUCUCAUUAUUUUUUUUAGUAAAUGAGAUGAUACACCCAUUUAUUUUCCAUAAAAAUUAAGAUGGCUGCCCUCAUUAUUUGCUCAUAUGAGAGCUUAGGCCCAGGGUUUAUCAAGUCAUCACGAUUUCUGGAUCCUUCGUUUCAGUUCUCUUUUCAGAGCUGAGUCUUGUCUUUUUUCUCUAGACAGGCUCCACUCCACCCCAAGGCCCAGCAGACUUUGCAGUAUGGAACCAAUAUAGCAUUCCAUUAAUUAUAUUCUGUCUGAAAAUAAUAUAUUCAACACUGAAAAGUGUGAAAAGUAGUCUUUUUUUUUCUUU